GUUAAUAAGUGUUUGUCGGUAAAGUUUAUUAUUAGGUUUAAGUUUAAACCUUUUCAUCAAAAUCAUCUAAUGUAAAACGGGAUGUAACAAACUAUUAAAACCUUUGAAUGUGGAACGGAAUGUAAGCAAUCGUUAAAAUAUUUUAUGUAAAAAUGGAAUAAAACAAUUUGUUGAUCUACUUUAACAUUUGUGAAAAAAAGCAACAUCAACAAAAAAUUAUCAAUAAUAUAGGCAGGGUUUAAGUCUUGAACUACACAGCUUCCUUGUUGUAACUUUUAAAGCCGGAAAUCCUGUUUUUCAAACACUAAAAGCAUAUCAUUUUUUUAUUGAAAAAUAUGUCCUUUUUUGACAAGGAAAGUUAUACUUUUUGUUAUAUAUAUUUUAUAUUUUUUUAUUAACCGAUAUUUAAUUGUUUUUAAUGUAGCCGAAACACGAAGUAGAAAAUUAUACUACGACACAACGGGGGUAUAUUGUAUUCAGAACAGGAUCCUUAUGUCAAUGAAACAUUCUAUGAAAACGUCGUCGAGCCUUGAUUAAACGCAAUGAUCGGUUGAUUAUACGUAGCAAGAGAUUUAGAUAUAGUCAUACUAAUAGAAGACAAUACAUGGUCAAUACUUCGAACACUAAAGGAUUACUAAAUGAAAUUAAAAACCUGCUGAUAAAUUUAAGUUUAGUAAACGAUAAUAAAACAAAAUACUUUA
rnacentral:lncRNA from 1 species